AUUAUAUCGUAAUGCAGCCAGUAAGGACAUGUGCUUGAGGGUUUACAUUGCGAUUCUAAACAUGAGUUGAGUAUAUUUGAGUAUGACAAUGUGUAAAAAGAGAGACAAAAAUUAAGUUAGUUAGCUUAAUGUAUAGUAAAUAAUAUUCUUUAAACUUUUUCCUGCUACUUACCACUGCUGAAAAGCAGCUACCUAUUUAAAAAAUCUGUAACUUCAAAAAGGGUGGAAGUCUAAGUUUUUCAAACUCUUUUUUUUUUUUUUUGCAUUUUUGAUGCCCUUUUAAUGUAACAGUCCCGUUCCUGUACGUCUUAAUCCUGUUCCAAGAAGUGCACUACAGCUGCUUUCUUUGGUAAUAUGGCAAGGAAAACUGAAAAGUUCAAAAAUGCAGGGGAAAAAAAAAAGAUUUUAAAAAGGACCUCCGCUCACUAUUUUAAGUACCGAUUCAAUGGAGGAUCAAGGUCCCUGAAUCUUCAUCAUCUAAUAUUUUGUUCGAUAUUCGUCUCAAGAUGUCACUAAGUUCUGUUUCUUCAUUUUGUUUGGGUUGGGUAGCUGUGAAGGACGUGCAUGUGAAGCAUGCUGCUGCGUAGACCCCUUGAAUGGAGACACUGGAAACCUUCCAAACGGAGAGAGAUAUGCCUUGAUUUUCUGAAUAUCUUGGCAUUGAAGUUACUUCAGACCCACGGACGCAAUUAAGCUGAGCGAGAGCGGCUCGUGCUGAUCAAAUGGCAUUAACUCUGUCAACUAGGGCCUAUUUGGAAUUCCAUCUGUCUAGACGUGUCACCUUCGGAACAUCUUUAGAUUUGCUCCUGGAGCUCAUUUCUAGUCAGUAUGAAAAAGAUUUUGUCGUCAACAAACUCGCCACCGACAUCAUCCUAUAUUUGGCGAAGGAAACUGUUGCUCAACUUGUAGACUUAGCUCUUCUGAUCAGAAUGGAUAGUCAAAGCAGCUCAGAUGAUCCCUACGAGGGCCUCAGUGUUGUGUAACCAUGCUGUGAAUCGCAAGAACAUCUACGGUUCUGCCAACCAACAAGUAAGUUUGGUGUCAGGUACAUUGAUUGCAUGCCUAUGAGCAGGAAGUUUUGAAUUGAUGCAUCAAAAAAUUUAAUAUCUGUGUUAGGUGUUAUUUUCAGUACUCUCACCUUACAAAUGUGUUGUAUGUACAUGAAAUUUAGAGGAGAAAACCCAUAUCAUAAUGCUUAAAUUCGCAUCUUGCUUAGUGGUCCAGUUAAAUAUCAGUAGCAUCUGGAAGGUGCAUCUGUCUUGAAUUUUAAAUAGGGACCCAGCCAAUCCAUAAAUAAUGUUUCUUAUUUAGAUUUUUCAGUCUCUCCAGCAAAUUGCGAAGCUUUUCAUCAAACUAACUCUUAUAUUCUCAUUCGUUUUUCAGAUUGAAGGCCCACCUGCUAUCAGCCCUGAAGAAUUCAAGAGGUAAUACGGAGGUAUUGGUCAACGCAAACUUUCGCUUUUGGUAGUUUCACAAGGAACAUCGAUGCCCGAAUCUAUGAAAAACUGCUUGCUUGUUGAAACCAAGUACUCCCAUCAAUCAUUCAUGAUUGAGGUCAGCCAAGGCCAGGAUUAUUCCUGCUGUUUGUGGCAUCCAUUACCAAUCUGAGAAAUCUCAAAGAGCCUGAGACAAAAACAAUCAGAAUUUAUGGUAAUCAUGAUUUUUUGGAAAUGAAUGUCUGAAUUAGCAUUGAUUUUCAGACAAAGUGAUCUGAAUAAUCUGGUGCCUGAUAUUUCAAAGGAGAAUUUUAAAAAGGACAUGAAAAUAUAUAUGAGAGGAAAAAGUACAUAACUGUCCACAGCACAUUUCAGUUAUAAAGUUCGGAUUCUUAAUUCUUAAUUUUAAAUAUUUUUUAUGGAAAUUGGUAUCAUAGAAUGACUGUCCAUAGAAUUAUGGACAAAAAACACUUAUCAUAUGCAUGAUUUGAUCAGCUUACAUACAUAUAAAAUAAGCAGUCUCUCCAGAUUGUGAUUUCAAAGUAAAAUUAGCCCAGUUAUGAGACACCACUUGGUUACAAUCCAUAACAAAGUUAAUCUUAUUAAAUGCGUCAGAAUUUAAAUCAGGAAGAAGGUCGUCUAAAUUUGCCAAAUUAAUGUCAGCACCGCUCUCGCCGUCUUCAACAAGAGAAUUAGAGGAGGUGAGAGUAUCACACUAAAAUAAUAAAGAAGGAUCUGAGAUAGGUGGACUCUCAAGGUCAAUGUUCCCCUCUGUAUUCUGAGUUUUCUGUUUUUAUACAUGGUAUAAUACUACCAAACUUGCAUCUUCAACAUCAAAUUGUAAAAUGGUUUCAUAUAAAUUUGAAGACUUUGCUGGUCACGUAAUACUUUAAAGUCCAUCGAUUGUAUGUGGCAUCUUCAAACUCUUAUAAGGUUGCAGAUCCUGUUGCCAUCGAUUUUGCUCUUCUUUUUUGAGAAAAGGAGGAGCAUUUUCCAGAAUUUAUAAGGAGCAGUUAUUUUUUUUUUUUCUCAAUUUUCAAUGACAUUCUGUAUUAUCGUAUUUUUAAUUCGAAAAGAUAAUUCAAUUAAAGCUUCUAGGUAAUAAAAUACCUGUCUUCAAAUUCAUGAUUUCACUUCAUCAAAACGCUCACUUUACUUUGAAAGUCUCUUUAAGUAUCUUCUUUAAUUUUAACUUUUAUUUGCAAGUAACAAGAGCCCGAGGAGGAUCUUCACUGAUUUCACUAAAGGACACUAUCUGGGGUUGGCUAAAAUCUUAUGUUGCUGACAAGCUUCUUUCUUCAUAAUAUUAAAGGUAGAUGACGCUUGAAAAACAUCAGUCACAGCCUAAAUAAUUAAUUCUAUAUUAGUUAAGAGGAAGAUCUGAUAUUUUUUUAACUCCUGUGUUAUUUAGGCAUUGUUUCUUGUACAUUUCAGUGUUUAUUCUCUGUCUGGUACCUUUUUUGCAAUAAAUCCCAUCUUUUGUUUUCAAGUAUGUUCACUUAUUUUCAUGGAGCCCGAAGUGUGUUUGGAUGCCAUUGGUGGUCUGCUUCCUUAUAAAAUAUUAAAGGAGCAAAAACUUCUAUGGAGCUAGAAGCUGAAGAAGUCAUGGUUAUUUUUUCCAAAAACUAUGACAACUUUUUGCCGUGUGCUCUUUUGCAAAUGCAGGCAGAUCAUUAGAGAUGGCCUGCAAGAGCCAGUUUUUGCCAGGUAAUCAGACGUGGCAAUUUCAUACAGCCACCUCUGGAAAAAAGGAGGAAGAGUCCUACAUUUGAAUGAUUGAUUUCGAAUUAUGACAUACAUAUGCAAGGACUGCAAAAGGGAAUUUGUAUGAAAUAUUAAGCACGCAACUCCCAUGUACAUAGCUUCCGCCCAUAUAAUUCACAUCACCGUUUAGCAUAAUUACCAAUGGCAAAAUAUGGAACGCCUACCUCAAUCGUAGUGUUGAACCAUCUUGAUUACAAUUUUUCUUUUUUGUUAGGAAUAGUCAGAAAAUUAAGCAUACACUACGUUGAAAGUCAAUUCUGUCAUAAUACUGUGAAGAGGAUAAUUGUUAACUCAAUAGCAGAACUUUCAAUAUUGAUCCAGAAAAUUUAGUCCAUGUGACCUGUGUCGAUUAUUCUCGACAUUGGACAAAAAAAAAUCGAGAUUAUUGGCGAAUCCAACAUAGUUUGAUACGUAAGGGUUGGCUUGAAAAUGAUAGUGAAAAGCUCAGCUCAAUAUUCCUAUUGUUAGACCCUGCAACCAUCUCCUUUCAUGUUUAACUUUAUGAAUCGGUUAAAUGAACCUAAUAAUGCCAGAUUUUAUCACUAUGUUCCACACUAUGGAAACUACGAGGCAAAAUGGAUUCAUGACAAACUAACUAAAUUAAUUGGAAUACUUAAUUUUCCCGAAGAGUUCACAAAAGUGAAUGGAUAGAAAUUUCUUUGAACAGUUGGCUAACUUUAACCGAAAUCAACAAAGCUGCAUUUCAUGUUACCCAAUUGAGUUGUUUUUUUUAUUUUUAACCAGCAACGAACCAAUUACCGAAAGCUUUUUAAUAACUUUGUCUUCAGAAUUUCCUAUUGAUCACGAAGAAUAUGCUAAGAGAAUUUCGAGGUACCUAGGGUGUUGCUCAGUUUUCUGUUGAUAAAUCAUUAAUAAAUCAAAGUCUGGAAUCUAAUAAAUUCUGUUAAAUGUGAUUAGAGGGCAUCAAGCAACAAGAAAUACAGUUACACAAAGUCCCGCUACGAUUAUACAGGGUGUCCGGAAGUUAACGUACUUAACUUUCAGGAUCGCUUUUUCGGCUCAAAAUAUGACUUUUUUUUCCCUAUACACAUAUGCCCGAAACGCUUCAUAAGUGACGUAAGCCGUUUUUCGAAAUAUCAACGCUAACUCAAGCUUCGAGACAGUCGUUGCAGCAAAAAUUGCCUACCCAGCAAGGAGCUGCGAAAAUCUUAAAAUUGUCAAAGCUCUUUUGCGUCGAAAUGACGCGUUUCUGGAAAAUUUUGUGCGGUCCCUUCGGCGCCUUGAUUUUUCGCGCUCUAAUGCCGUAAUCCGUUUUUCAAAAUAUCAUCUACCAAAAAGUUAUCGCAAUUUCCAAAUUCGGGAACGCUUGUGACGUCAUUUUUCGUAGACGUACGUCCUUGAAAACACAAAAAAUGAUAGUGGUAAAAAGUACCCCCCAAUACAAAGUUUCAUCACACUUAUGACAAAAUGACGAGGAUUUACAUUAAAUCAAAGAGAAAAAAAUGGCAACUUUGGAAGCGCGUGGCUCAUUUAUGAAGCGUUUUCGGGCAUAUGUGUAUAGGAAAAAAAGUCAUAUUUUGAGCCGAUAAAGCGAUCCUGAAAGUUAAGUACGUUAUCUUCCGGACACCCUGUAUGUAAGGAAGAAAUUAGGUAACCAUCAAAUAUUUUCAGCGUAUGGUUCCGUUGUGCAUCAGAAGUCGUCGGAAUUAAAAUUCGCGGCAUGAGGGCGCAGUUACUAGGGAGAUAGUUGCUUUUAUGGUCGCAAGAGCUCGUGGCGCUACGGUAGUUUUUCCCGCGCUUUCCUCGACCACGCUAUGGCGGCAUUUUGAUUCGACGGGAGUCGGCUCCGACGAGCGCUCCCCUCCCCCUCCGACCCAGUGAUGGAGGGGCGGUGACAUAAUACCGGGCGACAUUGCGGUAAUGUUGCUCACCUUUCAGUUAGAAAUAUUAUUUGUCAGUAAUGUGUCAAGAAAAUCGUUAGGCUAAGAGAUUCCCUAAAAAUUAUCCUUUUCAAAGAGAAAUAAAAAUUAAAGAAAUAAAGGAUUCCUUUUAUCUGAGGAAAUUUUGUUACUCAGGGGCAUUCUAACUUUGGAUGGGACAUUUAGGGACUUCAUACCUUAAUUUAAGUUAAUUAUAGCAGGUGAUAGAAGCAGACCUGACUCUAAACAUUGGCACAGAAAAAUUGAGCAAGGUGUAGGUCUAGUUGGGAAAUUCAAUGGAUCGUAUUCGAUAGUGGUUCAAUGUAUGAUUUGGUUCAAACAAUAGAACAAAACCUCAAACUAAAAUUGAAGGAUAUCUGUCGGAAAAGCUGAAAAAGAGAAAAUUUCGUAGCAAUUUCACUACUUUUGACCAAUAAGUACUCAUACGAAUCAAAAAUCUAUCACAAAAAAACCCAAACCAAAAUCCCAUGACUCAAUUGACUUUUGAGGCUAUGUUUUAUGUUUUGAAUCAAUUGAUACCAAUGCAAUCUCACCCCUUUGAUGUAUCGAAUACGAUCUAUAGAAAAAGAAAGGGGGGAGAACCCUAGCAGCAUUGAUGAGUGAAUUUGAACGAGUUCAACGGAAAUGCAUCGAGUCAGAUUAAGUUCGAACAGAGAAAAAGAGGCCAGAGGUAU
rnacentral:lncRNA from 1 species